CUAUCAAACCACUUCCACGUCUCACCGUCUCUUUCUCCUUCUCUAUCUUUCCCCUCCUCCCUUUCUCUUCCCACUCUCCUCCUCUCUUCUCUGCCUUUUUCUCCCGUUUCAUCGUUUUCUUCGCUUUUGUCUCUCUUUCCACUCUCACUUCGUCUCUCCCCGUCGUUCUUGUGGGGUUUUUGAGGGUUGGGUGUUGCGGAAUGCGGAGAUAGCUUUUGCGGUUCCGUUUGCUGCUGGGGUGUUGCGCAGAGGGUUUUUGGGCUUCCGUCUGCUACCGUGGUUUUUGUUCACCGGUUGCUGGAGAAGGGGGCUCUUCAUGCGUUGGCUAUUGUGGUCUAGUCGAGAGAAUGAAGAUCUUCACGCGUUGGCUCUUCAUGCGAUCCUCCUUACUUUUGUCGCCCGAGGUAUGGGUGGGCAUGGUGGUUCUACUCAUCCGAAGUCCUUGUUCUGAUUUUUUGGAAAAACUACAGCGAGAUAUCACCCAAAGUAUGCGAGGAAUUUCGAUUGAUUAGCUUGUGGAGUUAAACAAUCAACCAAUGUUGCAUUUGGUAGCAUCUCAUUUUUGCUCACCUAAUGGUGAUUACGCGUUGAUGUUGAGGAGGUGGAAGGUUUGACAAAAUGACCUCAGGUUGGCAAGAUGGACCAAUUUCCUAUAAGCAACUUGAUCUUUUGAGGCCAUCAGUUCAAUAUUAUUCAGUUGUUAAAGUUAGUAUUCCUGGGAUUCCCCCUCCCCCCAAAAAAAUGAUAAUAAUAAAAAAUAACUACAUUUUAGUUGUUAGAAUUGUGAUUCUUCAAGUACAUUUAUUUCUUUCAUGGUAUGGAACUUAAUCCCUUGCCUCCUGAUUUCUGUUGAUUUAUUAAUAGUUUGUGAUGGAAAUGGCUACCUUGUGAUUGAUUCCAUAAGCAUGUAGUCCCUCCCAUGUUUUAUUGAUGAAGCCAACUCAAAAUACCCUGUUUUCAAGGCAAUCAUCA